UUUUGUCGAGCCUGCGACUUUUGUCGCAGAAAGCUCGACAUAGGGAUAGUGAUCCGGCUACGGCGGCGGCGGCGUUAGCUAACUUCUUAAAAGCUUUAUAUUUUAGAAGGUGGAAGGUCUGGAUGCUUCAUACUUUGUAUAUGGAUGCCUCAUGUUACGAAGUUUCUGUCAGUCACAUGUCCAAUGUCCUUGACCUCAUUUUCAUGGUUCAGUGACUACUUGAAAAAAAAGUUAAGAUUUUUUGUAAUGUUAGAUUCUCUCUUAUUAUAAGUAAUAGGAUAACUAUAUUUGGUAUGUGCGUACCUUGCAAGGUCCUCAUGCCCGUCAGACAGUUUUCACUUGACCUCGACCUCAUUUCAUGGAUCAGUGAACAAGGUUAAGUUUUGGUGGUCAAGUCCAUAUCUCAGAUACUAUAAGCAAUAGGUCUAGUAUAUUCGGUGUAUGGAAGGACUGUAAGGUGUACAUGUCCAACUGGCAGGUGUCAUCUGACCUUGACCUCAUUUUCAUGGUUCAGUGGUCAAAGUUAAGUUUUUGAGUUUUGGUCUUUUUUUCUAGUACUAUAUGCAAUAGUUCAACUAUAUUUGGUAUGUGCGUACCUUGCAAGGUCCUCAUGCCCGUCAGACAGUUUUCACUUGACCUCGACCUCAUUUCAUGGAUCAGUGAACAAGGUUAAGUUUUGGUGGUCAAGUCCAUAUCUCAGAUACUAUAAGCAAUAGGUCUAGUAUAUUCGGUGUAUGGAAGGACUGUAAAGUGUACAUGUCCAACUGGCAGGUGUCAUCUGACCUUGACCUCAUUUUCAUGGUUCAGUGGUUAUAGUUAAGUUUUUGUGUUUUGGUUUGUUUUUCUUAUACUGUAUGCCAUAGGUCUACUAUAUUUGGUGUAUGGAAUGAUUGUAAGGUGUACAUGUCUAGCGGGCAGGUGUCAUCUGACCUUGACCUCAUUUUCAUGGUUCAGUGGUAAAAGUUAAGUUUUUUGAGUUUUGGUCCUUUUUUCUAAUACUAUAUGCAAUAGUUCAACUAUAUUUGGUGUAUGGAAAUAUUUUAUGAUCUAUUUGGCAGUCACACAGGUUUUAUUUGACCUUGACCUCAUUUUCAAGGUUCAUUGCUCAGUGUUAAGUUUUUGUGUUUUGGUCUGUUUUUCUUAAACUAUAAGCAAUAGGUCAAUUAUAUUUGUUGUAUGGAAGAAUUGGUAGCUGUACAUGCCUGCCUAGCAUGGUUCAUCUGACCUUGACCUCAUUUUCAUGGUUCAUUGGUCAAUGUUUAGUUUACUUGGUUAAUGUUAAGUUUAUGUGACAGUUGUAAUAAAGCUUUAUAUUUAGGACUAUCAACAUAAUAUCAAUGAUUAGUAAAGAAGGCGAGACAUUUCAGCGUGUGCACUCUUGUUUAAUAUUUUGUUAAAAUUAGAUGCUUAUCUCAUAUAGUUAUGUAUUCAAUAUAUGGUGCUGUUGAAGCUUAUAGUUGUGUCAGAAAAGUGAGGAAAUUACGUUUUCUUCUUCUUUUUUUUUUCGGGGGGGGGGGUGGUUUGGGGACUGCGGAAAUCUGAUAAAUGGCUUAAAGUAAAAUGUCUGUAUUUCAGCUUGUGACUGAAUAUCCUGAAUGGUUUCUUCAUUCACUAUCUAGUUAUGACACAUGAAUUCAAUUACAUACUUAAGGAAAACAUAGAUACUUUAAAAUGGGCUUGUUGUUGACACCACUAAAAUGUCAGUAUACUUUUGUAAGAUUUUCUUUGAAAAGCCCCCCACAAAAAAUGCAUGUUUGUAAAUAGGAGCUUGUUUUCAAAUUUAGGAAAUAUUUUUGUCCCAAACUUUUGUUUCAUAAUUUAAAUUAUUUACAAAGUUCUAACUUUACAUUGCUUGCUUACAUGCAUAGUUGACCAGUUUGUUUUUGUAUUUCUACAGGUCUUUUAGUCAUUAUUUUGUUGGAUAUUUUUAUUUAACUUGUUAAAACACCUAUAGGUUGUGAGUUUAAAAUGUUUUCCUUUUAUAUAGUUUAUUGUUUUUUGUUUAUUUACAAUUUUGGGGUAAUGGUUGUGUGUAAUAUUUUUUUUUUUUUUUUUUCUCAUUUAAUAAAAAGCAAUCAAAUUUGUAAUUUACAUGAUAAAAGAACUUUAUACUUUUGUUUUUAUAAACACUUGAUGUUGUACUAAUGAGUUAAGGUUUUGUUUAGGUGUAUAAUUUUAAUUAUGUUAACGAUAUAGAAGUUGUUCUAUUUAUUGUCAAUCUUUCUGUUAUUGUCGUUGUUAUGGCUAUAUAUUAUCAGUUUCGUGAAUGCUCAAAACUUUUUUUGAAGAUCUGACAAUCUGUAAAGAUUUAAAACUAACCUUUAUAUAUUUUGUUAUAAAUAGUUUCAUUGAAGAUAAUGAUCUACAAUAAUUUUGUUUAAUUCACCGUUUCAGAAUCUAAUGCAUACUGGGUAAUACUUUCAAAAGAAUACACUUAAAUGUUUUGAUUGGCUAACAACACCCAAAACAAUGGAAAUUUAACCAAUGGGAUGACAUUAUUUUCAUUUUUAUGAUAAGAACAAUGAAAUGAAUAGUCCUUUGAUUCUGAAAUGGCAAAUUUUAAAAUUUUAAAAUCAGUUAAAAUUGUUUUUCUUUUUUUUCUGUUUUUUUUUUUUUUAAAUGUAUACCCGAGUUUGGUGUUGUGUAAGAUAUUAAUAAUGAGAAUUUUUCAAUGAUAUAAUGUAUGAUUAUCUGUCAUCGUGUUUAUGAUAGCAGUGCAAAGAACAUGGUAAAGGAGUCUUGAGUGUACAAAAAAGAUUCAAUGAUCAGAGUUGGACAUUGGAUUUGAAAAAAAUAGCAAAAUAUGGAGAAAUUCAAGUGCCAUAUUUUUGGGUACCUUUGCAUUUGUACCUAAUGUUGUUAUAUUAAAAACUCAUCAUUUUGUCCAUGUUUUAAUUUACUAAUUCAAGUUCUAAUCCUACUUUUUAUACGACCGCAAAAAAAAUUUUGUGGUCGUAUAUUGGUAUGACGUUGGCGUUGUCGUCCGAAGAAACAUUAGUUUUCGCACUCUUAACUUUAGUUUAAGUGAAUGGAUCUCAAUGAAAUUUUACCAUAAGGUUCAAUACCACAAAAGGAAGGUGGGGAUUGAUUUUGGGGGUUAUGGUACCCACAGUUAAGGAAUUAGGGCCCAAAAACAAGCAUUUUUGUAACUUCCAGACAUACUGUAUAGUGGGUUAUUUUCGCGGGUGUAAAAUUUCGCGAUUUAAGGGCUACAAAGUAUACGAAAAAUUUUAGCGGUUUUUAUUUUGGCGGAUUCUUUAAUCCCGAUUAAAUAUUUUUGCGGAUACUGAAAUGGUUGCAGUUAAAAAGUUGUCUAUUGUUAUGGUUAAAUGAUUGUUUUACCUGCAUGACGUCUCAUUUAUUGAAAAUAUUUUGAUACAGUUAAUCAAUAGAAUACCGGUACAUAGUUAUUUGUCACAGGUGUACAAACUUCUUGUAAAUGUGAGAUUGAUUAGUUACGAAAUUGACCGGCCCUUUGAUGUACUGAUUAGAUUAUAAAAUUUUCAUGAGUGAUGACUUGCAACUCUUAUAUAAUUUGACACUAAUUAAUAAGGAUAAAAUACCUGACAGCGUACCUUACACUUUUAUAUUAUCAUUUAUUUUAUUAUGUAACCAAUAAACUAAUUAACACCUGACAACCAGUGAACAAUGGCCUUUGCAAUUUAUGUUGUUGAAAAUAACAUCAACCGUUAUCGAUCCGUCGAAAGGGAAAACAUAGAUAGUUUACAAAACGUUUUAGCUAUUAGAAAGUAUCGAACGUAUGCAUAAAUUUUCGCGGAAUUUAUUUUCGCGAUUACCCUUGACCUGCCAAAAUAAGCGAAAAUAACCCGCUAUACGGUAACUUGUGUGUUAGUGUAUGGAUCUCUCUGACAUUGUACCACAAGGUUCCAUAUCACAAAGGGAAUGCUGGGAUUGAUUUUGGGGGUAAUUGCCUCCAAAUUUUAGGAAUUAGGGGCCAAAAAGGGGCAAAAAACAAGCAUUUUUCUUAUUUCAUGACAAUAACUUGUGUGUAAGUGUAUGGAUCUCUCUGACAUUGUAUCACAAGGUUCCAUAUCACAAAGGGAAGGCUGGGAUUGAUUUUGGGGGUAAUUGCCUCCAACUUUUAGGAAUUAGGGGCAAAAAUCAAGUAUUUUUCUAGUUUCCAGACAAUAACUUGUGUGUAAGUGUAUGGAUCUUUUUGAAAUUGUACUGCAAGGUUCCAUAUCACAAAGGGAAAGCUGGAAUUGAGUUUGGGGGUAAUUGCCCAAAAAGUUUAGGAAUAAGAGACCAAAAAGGGGCCAAAAAUAAGCAUUUUUCUAGUUUCCAGUCAAUAACUUAUGUUCAAAUGUAUGGAUCUCUCUGAAAUUGUACUGCAAGGUACCAUACCACAAAGGGAAGGCUGGAAUUGAUUUUGGGGGUAAUUGCCUCAAAAUUUUAGUAAUUAGGGGCCAUAAAAGGGCAAAAAAACAAGCAUUUUUCUAGUUUCAGGACAAUAACUUGUGUGUAAGUGUAUGGAUCUUUAGGAAAUUGUACUGCAAGGUUCCAUAUCACAAAGGGAAAGCUGGGUUUUAGUAUGGGGGUAAUUGCCCUAAACGUUUAGGAAUUUGGGGCCAAAAAAGGGCCAAAAAAACAAGCAUUUUUCUAGUUUCCAGACAAUAACUUGUGUUCAAGUGUAUGGAUCUCUCUGAAAUUGUACUGCAAGGUACUAUACCACAAAGGGAAAGCUGGGAUUGAGUUUGGGGGUGAUGAAUCAUAAGGGGGUUCAAAAAAUUGGGGGUGGAUUUUUUUUUCCUUUUUUUUCUUUAAAAUUUUCCAUUUUAAAUUGGUUAUUUCUGAUUUAUAUAUAAAAGCAAAUAAUAAUGAUAUGGUUUGAAUAGGUUAAUUAAAAAUUUUCAAGUUCUUGCACCACUUUCAUUCUGUGUGAGAAACCUAUGCUGUGUCAAAUAUUUAAUUACAAUCCAAAUUCAGUGCUGUAUCAAGCUUGAAUGUUGUGUCCAUACUUGCCCCAACUGUUCAGGGUUCGACCUCUGCGGUCUUAUCAAGCUGCGCCCCAGCGGAGCAUUUUAUUAAGUUAUAGAUCAACAUAUUUUUUUGUUUUUGCUUUAUCUAUAAGUUGUGCCAGUUCUUUAUAUUUUACAGAUAACAAUUGUUGCAGAAAAAUACAUAACAUUUAUAUCAAUUUACUUUUACACUUUAUCUGUACACAUGUUUAGAAGAGAAGGAUUGUAAUAAUAAUCAUAGAAUAACCAGUUGUGGUCUUGGAACAUACAAUUUGAUUGUAAAAGGCUAAGAAUAAGGUAAAAAUGCAAGGUUUGUUAAAGCAUUUCUAUCCCAUUUUGUACCAAGUUCAAAUAAAAUUUAUAUCUGAGAAAUGUAUGAUUAUCCCUUUAUCCUGCAAUGCUAAACUCUUCAAAAAUUAACUACCGGUAUGUUUAAAAUUACUUAAAUGUGUCGAUUUCAAAUUCAGAAUAAAAUUCUACAGAAACAUAAUUAACUGCAUAAAUAAGGCCUUAUAUGGGCAGUGACUAUAUAUGACAAACUUGAGAGGCUACAGAGAAAGUUUUUACAUUGAAUAUCAAUACAUAUUAAUUUCUAAAACAGGUCUUAUUGCUCAAAUACAAACUUAUAAGGUUUCAAAUAAACCAACUUUGAAGAAAUCAUAGAUUGCAGCACAGUUAGAUUGGGGAAAUGUAAAAUUGGCACAAUUGUAUACUGUUCUUAAAUUUUGGUACAAACUUUAUAGAAUUGCAGAAAAGAGAAAUGAAAGCAGUUAUUGCAAGAAGGGAUAUAUUUUUUUAUUUUAAAUGAUGAAAGCAAAAUGGAAAAAUGGAAAUAAACAUCAAUUAAAAAAAUAUCAAUACUCACUCCAGACAAUUGUAACAUAGUGGUAAGGUUUUGCGAUGGGUAAAUACUUUUUUCACAUAUAUUUGUAAACAAGAUGCUCAAUGAAUCUGAAAGGGCAUAUGAAGACUUCUGAGUCAUUGCAAUAUAUUUCUGUCUAGUUUAUUAUAUUUUAUAAUUUCUGUAUAAGAAUCUGUCAUAUUAUAACAUGUUAAAUAAGGAAUUUUUUCCAAUGAUAAUCAUACUAAAUGAUCACAAACUGAUCUAGAAUGGUUCACAAAGUUUAAGUAGAUUUUCAUGGUAGAAAUGUGAAAGAAGAUUGUUUGAUAAUUAUAUUGAUCAGUUUGAAGGCAUCUGAACACUUGAUUCAGAAGUCUUCUGAAUUUGACUGUUAUUCAGAUCUUUAAGUGACCACAUGGCUAUUUUUGGUACUGAUGAAUAAAUGGAUCAUCGUUUAUCAUUGUGUUAUAUUUAAAGCUACAUUGGACCAAUUCAGUAAUUAUCAAGUUGUGUUUUACAUAUUCUUAAUGAAGCAAGGUACAUGGAUGUUUGGACUCCAGGAGUAAUUUGUUUUCUUCUGUUUGGUUUGUUUUGUUUGUUGGGGUUUUAUGUUGUUUUAUUUUUUCUAAGGUGGGAGGGAUCAAUGAUCUAAAUGUUUCAAAUGGGGUUGUCUGCAAUCUUGUUUUCAAACAGGAAACAAUAUUUUUCACCUUAAAUGAUUUUUUAUAACAAAAAUUGCAUCUGCAUUAGAUUUUUCUUCAUAAGAAGAGCAGAAGGAACAGUAUUUUAGAGGGGUUUAGGGUUUCCAGACAAAAUUCAAGUAUUUUGAAUUGAAGGUAACUUUAAGAAAAUUACUUUUAUAUUACUAAGAAUUCAUACUUUUGCCAUUAAUUAUAAACAUACACACAUAUUCAUACAAACAAAUGGAUUUUAGCCAAAAUUAAAUUGGAAUCACUUCAGACCCUAUCCUCUUUUUUUGGUUUUAUGAUAACAUUUUGAUAAUUAGAUCUAAAAAAAAAUUCAAAAGCAAAAUUUGCCAUUUUUGAAUGUGCAUCAUCAUCAUUUACAAUACAUUUAAUAAUGUAGCUGCCAACAAUGAAGGGAUCUGAAAAUAUUUUUGUAUUCCUGUCAUAGUAAUCAUAUUUCUUGGACGCAAAUAUCACAGGUAUAAUUCUGACUUGGUCCAUUUGUAUUUUUGCAAAAUAUUUACACAUAUAAUUUACAAGGGUAUUGUAUUAAUCACUGUAAGCUUUCUCAUCACCCAUACUCAGUUAAUCAGUGCAAUAUAAGUAGAAUCUCUAUUACACAUGUAUUACAUAUGUAGGUUGUCUAUUACACAUGUAGGUUGUCUUAGCAUUCCACCUUUACAUUCCUUUUUUGUUACUUUUGGUCAUUGUUUACUAAUUUAUAAGGCUAAUACAUAUAAUAUGUCAAUAAAAAGUUUCUUUUAUUA